rnacentral:lncRNA from 9 species
CGGAGGGGUGGCUGGUGGUCAGAGCGGGGAGGCGUCCCCCCCAGCCCGGGGGCCCUUUCGGGGGCGCGCCCGCCCCGCCCUCCAGGCGGGACUCGUUGGGUCCCUCUGGCGCCCCGUGGGUCCCUUUCCCAGAGCUGCACCCGCCCCCUCUCGGCUCCUGGGCGCCACGGAUAGGAGGGCAAGUCACGCGAGGACCAGCCGCGUGCGGAUCGAGGCGGAGGAGUCCGGGGCCCUGCACACGCUCCUGCCGAGGCUCUGUCGUUGGCGGGGCGCUCUCGGGGCCGCUCUCCCGGCUUCGACACUGCUGCGGGGCAGACCGUGCCCACAGACGGCUUGGGUGCAUGUUUGCCCCUGGAUCUCAGACCAGCUAGAAAUCAGUCUCUCCCUAAGACCCAGGCUUCUGAGGGCGAGCGAGGUUUCCAGGGACGGUGCAUACCCAAAACUUCGUGUUAGGAGAGGCCUGGGCCAGAGUGUGAAGGCGCUGCAGUGAAGUCGCACAGCAGAUGGCUUGUAUCAUCCUCAGUUCUGGCUCCCGCCUGAUGCUGAAGACAGCCUCCUCCCAGAAGCCACUUCCAGUCGAGCCUUCGGAGAGUGACGCUGGCCUGAAUCCAAACCAGACCCAUCAUCGAGAAGAAAGCAGGCUCUAGGUCUCGUCCAGGUGGGGAAUGUACCGUCAUUUCACCUGUUGCCUCUGUGUGGGAGAGCAGCGGACAAGAGCCCAAGGAUCCCCUUUGACUUAAAGGGGAUUCAAAGAGUUUAUAUCUCAAAACGCAGGCCGCUUGGAAUGUUCGCAGCUAGAAGGCCGCCCUCUUGGUUGAGACAGCCUGUCAGGACACGGAGUUUCUGUCCCAGAACUUCGGUUACAAGCUCAGAAAAACGAAGAGUCUUGUCCAGAGCACAACCUCUGAAGAAGCGGAGCAACGCGGAAAUUCCCACGGCCGGGGGAUUGUGCUGCUGGCUCGUCUCCUGGCUCAUGCCGGCUUCCAGUGCUCCUUCCUCUCCCCUGGGAAUGAGAAGGAUAGAAAGGCCCGCUGGCAGAAAAGAGAUCAGACCCCGGAGGGAGAGGAGGUGCUCGGAAGGACUCCCCCAAAGAAGAGGACGUGUCUGCGGAAAAACCAACCAGAGAUGCGCUUUGACCAAAACGCACAGGAAGGAGCCCAGCCUGAGCCCUGAGGGUGAGACACGUGCCUGAGGCCUCUGGUGCUUCAUGGAAAGAUGACUUCCAGGGGUUCCCGGGUUCCCGCCCCUCCUGGGGAGGCAGCCCGAGGAACACAGCUGGGGCAGGUGCGUCUUUAAACAUCUGACGGACCCUGUUCAGCACCAGCGGGUCCCUACUGGAGAGAGGCCUUCCCCUGAGCUCGGGCGGGAAGCCGUUCCGGCACAGCUCCGACGUGACCAAACCCAGCACGUUCACACUGGAGACAAGCCCUUUCAACGCCGUGUGUGCGGCAAAGCCUUUAACUGUGGUUCACAUCCCCUAAAACACGAGCAAACCCACACUGGAGAGAAACUGGAGGGGUGUGAGGAAUGUGGGGGGACCUUCACCCCAGCUCGUGUCUCAUUCGCCGUCGGAAACGUCACCCGCGGAAGAAGCACUGAUGGGGGUGAGUCAUCCGCCAGAUGCGGGCAGGCUUUGUGGGCUCGAGACCCAUCCUGGCAGGGCUGCCCUGGCGCCCCCUCGAUCAGGCCUUGUCCGCUCAGGCCGGGGGUCCCACCCUCACCAGGAACACCCAGGUCUGGCUGGAGACCUCCAUCAUGUCACUACGAUGACAAGGACGCUUCUCACAGCUGCGGCACCAGAGGCAGGCUUCGGGCCCUGGCACAGCCCCCACCUCCCGCUGCUGCCUCCGCCUGUGGCGCCCACGCUGGCUCCCCAACCACUGCUCCUUUGGAGACUGGUCUGCAGCCUCUCAGCCCUCAGCGUCCUGAGUCCAUCUCCAUGUGGCCUGGCCCCGAGCUGGACGGCAGUGCUUUGCAAUGAGCUCCAGGGACCCCGCUGUCCCCCGGCUGGCUGUGGUGGCAGUGCUGGGCCUCGUCCUCUGCCUUCCCGCCUCGGCUGGGGCACCGCUUGAACGCGGCCCCCCUCCCCAGGAACUGGACCCCCUGUGGUCCUCCCAGCUCAGCCCCCAUCCCAGGUGAACCACCGUGACACCAAAUGCUACCACCACGCGAGAUCCCUGCCCUGGCCACGCGGGGCCCUGGGACGCCCAUGACAGCUGGGAUCCCUUCAGACGCCAGGCGGUGGGUCCGUCCCCAAGGCCAGCUCUCCGUUCAGGUUUGUCCCACUUCUGCGGGCCUCACCCCCAUCCUGCCCCCGUCACGUCCACAUGCCGGGCCUGCCCGUGGUUCCCUCCGGGAGGGGUCUGGACGGCCUCUGUGCUCUCCUGGGGGGGGGGUGUGCUCUGUCCCAGCGUUUCCGGGUGGUGUGGGAGGGGCAAGGCCACUGCCACCCAGGAGGGAAAGUAGCUUUUUAAUAGGAAAAUGCUGAUAUUUAGGUUUUCAGCAGUUCGGACCCAGAAAACAGAGCAGCCUUCGUCGCGGGGGCUCCUCUGUGAGGAGAGGGGUCGGGGCUCCCGGGACAAGUGUCUCCCCAGUCUGACAGGCGCUGACCUCUUCUCCGUAAAAGCUGCGACGGCAGAGCAGCUCUGCCCGCGCUGGCGCCUCCGCCCAGGCUCGGCAGGCCCCCUCCCACGCGGCAGCCGGCCCAGGUGACGGGCUAACCUGCCGCCCGCGGUCCUGCUCUCACCGACCAAGAGAUGGCGGGGCGCUGAGGCAGAAUCUCCGAGCAGGUGCUGGGCUGGCCUGGGGGGGACACGCCUUUGGUCCCGGGUGGGGCAGGUGCUGUGAGGGACGCGACUGGGACGUCUGGCAAACUUGAGUCCAGACUGUCCCCGGGGGGGGGGGACGACACACAGGGUCACUGCUCCCCAGUCCAAGGGCCUGUGGCCGUCCCAGACAGCAUCCUCGUCACGAAAAUGUACGCGAAGGUCACGGCCUUCAGGCCACGGCGUCCUGAUGGAAGUUUGCGCAGAGGCUGACAAGGGAGCGACGACAGCAGGACCCACACGGACCCUGAGCGGUGGCGACGCAGACCGGCUCAGCGUCGGGCGUCCCUGAAUCUAGACCCAGGGCUGGCAGGCCUUUGCUGUGAGGGGCCCGAGGCGGGUGGUUCCCGGCUUGUGGGCACGAGGUCCCGUCCCGACGCAGCUCAGCGGUGCCAGGCAGAGGCCGGCGUGCGUAUCCGCGGAGCUUUGCUUCCAGAAGCAGGAAGGUGGGGCUGGGGCGAGCGAGGCCCCAUGUGCUGGGAGUCCCGAGGUCCUGCAGACCCAGCGUCGGCAGGAGGAGGCCUGGGCGCGGGGAGGGGCGGGGAGACGCCCAGAGCCGGCCCCGCCGUUGGCCUUGCUGCACCGGGGAGAGGCCGUGGAGGCGGCCGUCAGCCGUGCCGCUCCCGCGGGCCGGGGGCUCUGCAUCCGCUCCACCCGGUUCCCUCGGAUGGCUGCUGACUUGCCCUGACGGAGGUAUUUUGUGUGGAGAGCAUCGUGUGACGUGCACCCGAGCUUACGGUGCUUCACGCGCAGAGAGAAGAGCCGCCGUUGUCUAUGUAACCCCGUUUCCAUGUCAUUUCCCACGGAAAAGCCCUCUUUCUGUGGUUGCCUGACAAUCCGUGGAUUAGAAACAUUGAUUUAGGAGUUCCCGUCGUGGCUCAGUGGUUAGUGAACCCGACUGGCAUCCGUGAGGACAUGGGUUCGAUCCCCGGCCUCUCUCAGUGGGUUAAGGAUCUGGCGUUGCCGGGAGCUGGGGUGUAGGUUGCAGACGCCGCUUGGAUCCUGCGUUGUUAUGGCUGGGGUGUAGGCCGGCAGCUGCAGUUCGGAUUGGACCCCCAGCCUGGGAACCUCCAUGUGCCAAGGGUGCGGCCCUAAAAGGCAAAAAAAAAAAAAAAUUUGCUCUAACCAUCUCCUGACAAGAGCCUGUAGGCCGUUUCCCGUUUAGGUCGUUAUAAACAAUGCAGCAUCUCCUCCACAUUUAGGGCCAACGGGGUGGGUCUCCAGACGUGAACUGCAGGGAGAGAGCGUUCUGGCAAAUUCUGCUGCCUAAGUGCCCCAGCAGUGCACAGACAGCAGGUGAGGUCUCAUCUCGCCGGGCUGGUAGAGGAGAAGCAGCUUCUGAUGUGACACCUUCGAUUCCUAAAGAGGAAGUGGGCGGCCAGGUGCUCAGUCUCUUGGGCCAGAGACGAGGGACCCCGGGCCAGUCCUGCUCCUCGUGCUUCGCGUUCCCCCGGGGGGACGCUGACAGCGCUCGCCUGUGGCUGUGACGUCCUCAGCGCGGCGCUGGCCCCAGGGGUCCGCCACUGUCCUCUGGUCAUGUGUCCUCAGCGAGGGGACGUUUGCCUCCCGGCGUGAGAGGGCGGCGCCGGCUGGCGGCCUCCGUGCUUCUCUGAGGAAAGCGAAAUCAACCCGGAAGACAACGGAAAAGUGAUUUUUUUAACAGGAGACAUGAGGAAAAUGACACGGCCAAACUAAAACCACUUCAUGAGCUUCUUCUUUUGCUCUUUAAUGGCCACACCCACUGCACAUGGAGCUCCCGGGCCGGCAGUGGCAUCCAGGCCACGGCUGCUGACCUGCGCUCGUGGCGUUUUUGCCUCGUGGCGUUUUGGUCAAGACGGGAGGGCUCACUUCCUGCUUCUUCCGAGUUAACCAUCAUGACGCCACACCAUCGCCAAGCUCUGAAGCCGAGUCUUUCAGAUUCAUCGGAUUUGAUGGGUUGUUUUGGGGGGUUUGUUUGUGUUUGUUUUGCUCUUGCUAUUCAAGUGAAACUCAAAUUCCAGGAACAAGAAAACCUGUUACCUGAGUCAAAGGAGAAAACAUAAUAAAAGUUAUGAAACACUUGGGGUCCCAUCGUGGCUCAGCUGUGUAACAAACCCGACUAGUAUCCAUGAGGACACAAGUUUGAUCACUGGCCUUGCUCAGUGGGUUAAGGAUCCGGUGUGGCCGUGAGCUGUGGUGUAGGUCGCAGAUGAGGCUCAGAUCCCGCGUUGCUGUGGCUGUGGUGUAUGCUGGCCGUUGUAGCUCUGAUUUUGAGCCCUAGUUUGGGAGCCUCCAUAUGCCGCCGGUGCAGCUCUAAAAAGACAAAAAUUACAGUUAAAAUUUUUAAAAGUCAUAAAAUACUUAAACCGUAAUGAUAAUGAAAAUACAACUUGCCAGAACCUCUGCAUGCAGCUAAAGCGAGACGGAAAUUUGUAGCCUUACGUGGUCAGCAGAGCUGGAAGUCUACAGGCUGUACAUCCCAAAGGGAAAAAUGGCAGAGUUCCCGUCGUGGCUCAGUGGGUUACAGGCCCGACCAGUAUCCAUGAAGAUGUGGGCUUGAUUCCUGGCCCUGCUCAGUGGGUUAAGGAUCCGGUCACGGACGCAGCUCGGAUCCUGCGUUGCUGUGGCGCAGGCUGGCAGCUGCAGCUCCAAUUUGACCCCUAGCCUGGGAACCUCCCAUGGAUACCACUGAGAGAAUUUAAAAGCAAAAGUCGGUUCUUUGACAGGACUGCGGAAACUGACAAUCCCUGGCAGGGGAUCCAGGGAGAGAGAAGGGGCAGAGACUAAAACGCUAAACCGGCAAGUCAGGAGAUGGGAGAACUUGGAUGAAGCGGGUUACGGAAGAUGAGUUACUGAAGCCGACGCCGGAGGGAACAGCCCGCAGACCCUCUAAGCCCCAGACAGACUUGCAUCCAUAGAUCACAGUCUCGCUCGCGGUGACGGCAAGUCCAGAUGGUGCGCAAGUGACUCAGGAAGCAGGUGCCUCCCACGCCUCCCAGGCAGUGAAGAGGAGACACUCCUGCCUUCCUUUAUGAGGCUCGUAUAACACGCUGCCACAGUGACAGCUCAGUGCCACCUGCUUAGAGAUGAAAAAGCGCUAAACAAAACACUGCAGAUAAAAUCCGGAGUGAUUAAGAGGGACUGUGGCAGGACCGUUCUUUUUCUAGAAAGGCAAAUUUGGCUCAAAAUGGGUGUGAUCUCUCACAUUUUCAGUUUUACGGAGAACUGGGGCACCAUAGUGUCAUCUCAACAGCCGCGGAAAAUAUUUGCUAAAAUUGGACAUCCACUCGUGAUUAAUAUCUCUUCACCCACACGGACUAUAAUGGACGUUUCCCAACCGGAUGUAGGACGUCUCCCAAAACACGCAGCAAGCGAACCUUAGGCUUAGGUGUUAAACGUUUGCAAACAGGAGCAACGCGGAUCGGCCGCCGUCACCCCUGCUCUUCCAUGUCGGAGAUUCCGGCCGGGGCAGUGAGACAAGGAGUGAAGCCCAGGAGCAGCCUUAGGAGGGCAGCCCUUACCUGUCAUUCUCAGCGGCUGCCACUGCCUGCAUGUGGCCAUGGAAGUGACCACCAGCUGUGGAGAUCAUUUAUGAAGGGCUCGUUUAGCAAGACUGUCACAGGGAGCAACAUGCAGAAACCGGCGGAGGUUCACCCCUGGGAAGAGUGGACGCAGGGACUCAAGCAGAUGUCUUCACACCGACAUCACGUCAGCAGGACUCACGGUAGCCUCUGGUGGGACCCACAGACGGGUCCCUCAGCCAGUGAACAGGUAAACGGCGUGGGCCGUGCACACGGAGGCAUAGUAGCCGCAGGAGGAACCGGGCACCUACACGCGACGCCGGGGAUAAACCUUGAAGACACGAUGCUUGGUGAAAGCCAGGCACGAGGGACACAUACUGAGCGACUCCUUUUAUACGAGGUCCCCAGAGCAGGCAGAUGCACAGAAAGUGGAACGCUGGGGCCUUGCUGGGCUCAGAGGUGCGGUCGGGAGGGUGAGAAGGUUUGGGGUGUGGGUGGUGGACAUGGAUACACAGCAUUGUGAGUAUUUAACGCCACUGACUUCGUCACACAGGAUGCACUAUUAACAAAACUCAACGUUUACAAGCUGUUAUCGAGGAGUUCCCGCUGUGGCACCCCAGGAUCGACAGCGUUACCGCUGCAAGUGCCCACGUGCGUGUGCCCAGAGCCACGUCCUUACCGCACGGCUGGCUCUUCUCCCAGCAGAGGGACCCCGUGCUGAUUGUCCUGCUUCGUUUAGUCCAAAGGAACGUCCGUCCUUUUCAGGUUGUGAGAGCAGAUGGGCCCCAAAGCCAGAAACAGGCGUAGAAAAGAACCCCAGAACCAGCAGCGGGACCGCGUUCCUCGGCUCCAGGGAGGAACGGAGAUGAGAGGAAGGAAGAGAGGCCGUGUGGGGAGGAAAGGCCCCGGCCGCCCAUGUCCUGACCGCGGGCUCAGGCCGUGCUGAGCUCGGAGUCUGCUGCCUCCUGGCUCCCAAGGCACAAACUGCAGCCACGUCUUGGCGACCACGAAGCCACUGCUCCACCCCUUGUCCAGAGUCCCUGUCCAGAGUCCCUGCAGGGUCCAGGCCCAGGCACAGGCCGAGGCUGACGCUGCAGACUCUGCAGCCAGGGGUGUCCAAGGCCUGAGGCCAGGCAUCCCAUGGGGUGAGCUCCCAGGCACCUUGGGCCCAGCACACACACCCUCGAGCUUCCUGUGGCAUGUGACUGUGUCACUGUGGCCUCUCCCAUGAGGCACUCAGUUCAUCCCUAUUUUUUUUUUUAUUUUUUUUUUUACUUUUUAGGGCCACACCUGCAGCAUAUGGAGGGUCCCAGGCUAGGGGUCUAAUGGGAGCUACAGCUGCUGGCCUGUACCACAGCCCCAGCAACACAGGAUCUGAGUCUCAUCUGUGACCUACACCACAGCUCACAGCAACGCUGGAUCCUUAACCCACUGAGCAAGACCAGGGAUCGAACCUGUAACCUCAUGGUUCCUAGUCGGAUUUGUUUCUGCUGCGCCACGACGGGAACUCCUGGUUGUUCCCUUUUGGUUCCACUCUUGGGGUUACUGGAAGCUGGAGCACACGGGGUACCGGACUCCUCUCGUGCUCCCUGGCGAACUGGGGUGGCUGUGGGCUGAAAACAGUCGCUUGCAGCUGGCGGUCCUGGGCCUCUGCUGGUGUAGAUGCUUUCUCCAGUCUAGUUUUCCCCGCUGGUUUUUUUUUUUUUUUUUUGGCCACCCCCACAGCAUGUGGAAGUUCCCGGGCCAGGGACUGAACCUGCGCCAGAGCAGUGACCUGAGCCACCGCAGUGACCUCGCUGGGUCCUUGACCGCUGGGCCACCAGGGGAUGCCCUGCUGUUGUUUUCACUGUUUAGAGACGCAGCUGCCCAGCUAGUCAAGGUCGUUGCACUUCUGCUUCAUUGUAUCUUCACUCCCGUCAUCGUCAUCCGGAGACAGGAAGCGUGGCCUUCGUGUGGGCCGGUGUUCCUCCCUUCGCGGCUCUCUUGUCACGCGGUCCUCUGAACCCACAUGGUGCUGCCCUGCCCCCCACGUCUCUUCCCAGCAGCCCCAGCGUCCGUCACAGGACGUCCUUUGUCCUGCUGCCUCUGGAUCUUGCUUUCUCCCACAGUGAAUGUCUGACCCGCCCUGUUGGCUGCAUUCAGCUGCUCUUCCUGCAGCCAGGAUUUCCCAGGGAGGCCCCCCUGCUGGCAUCUCCCAGCCCCAGGCCUGCAGAGCCAGAGACCUGGUGGUCGCUGCCCCUGGAUAGGUCUCUUGGGGGCCACCUCACAUUAACCAGACUUGUAGGAGGCCAACACACAAAUCAGAAAAGGAACGUGGCGUUCCUGUCGCAGCUCAGGGCUUUAUGAGCCCAACUGCUAUCCGUGAGGAUGCGGGUUCGAUCCCUGGCCUCGUUCAGUGGGUUGAGGAUCUGGUGUUGUCUUGAACUGUGGUGUGGGUCUCAGAUGUGGCUUGGAUCCCGCGUUGCGGUGCCUGUGGUGUAGGCCAGCAGCUGUAGCUCUGAUUUGAGCCCUAGCCUGGGAACCUCCAUAUGCCACAGCUGUGGCCCUAAAAAGACAAAAGACAAAAAAAAAAAAAAA